CACGUAGGGGGCGAGCGUUGUCCGGAUUUAUUGGGCGUAAAGAGCUCGUAGGCGGUUUGUCGCGUCGACUGUGAAAACCUACAGCUUAACUGUGGGCUUGCAGUCGAUACGGGCAGACUUGAGUUCGGUAGGGGAGACUGGAAUUCCUGGUGUAGCGGUGAAAUGCGCAGAUAUCAGGAGGAACACCGGUGGCGAAGGCGGGUCUCUGGGCCGAUACUGACGCUGAGGAGCGAAAGCGUGGGGAGCGAACAGG
rnacentral:rRNA from 1 species